AUUGAACGCUGGCGGCAUGCCUUACACAUGCAAGUCGAACGGCAGGCGGACCUUCGGGUGCCGGCGAGUGGCGAACGGGUGAGUAAUAUAUCGGAACGUACCUUUCGAGUGGGGGAUAACGUAGCGAAAGUUACGCUAAUACCGCAUAUUCUGUGAGCGAGGAAAGCAGGGGAUCGCAAGACCUUGCGCUGAUUGAGCGGCCGAUAUCAGAUUAGCUAGUUGGUGAGGUAAAGGCUCGACCAAGGCGACGGAUCUGUAGCGGGUCUGAGAGGAUGAUCCGCCACACUGGAACUGAGACACGGUCCAGGACUCCUACGGGAGGCAGCAGUGGGGAAUUUUGGACAAUGGGCGCAAGCCUGAUCCAGCCAUGCCGCGUGAGUG
rnacentral:rRNA from 1 species